rnacentral:lncRNA from 1 species
AUACGGAGUCGCGACAGGAGGGCCUUUAGCUUGGGGUCUGUGCUAUAACAGGGAGAUGAGUCCAAUGCAAUCUUACUGUGACGAGACCUGGAAAUACAAGUACCCUUGCAGCCCUGGAGCUGAGUACUACGGACGUGGUGCUUUACCCAUUUACUGGUAUUCAUUUCUCCUCUAUUUUGAAUCUCAAUUUCAAGGAUCUCAAAGGUUAAUUAAUAUAUUAUUUUUUGAAAGAAUGCUAAAUUAUUCAAAUGAAAAACUGUUUUAUAGAAAUUUCUAGUUUUGUUGAAAUGGAUACUCAAAUACUCACUCUGUUUCAAAAUAUUCCAUGUUUUAGAGCAUCUCCAAAAGAAACUCUAUAACUUCAAAUAUAGAGUUUUUGGCUCUCCAAAAAGGAACUUCAAAACUUCAAAUUUAGAGUUUUAUAUGAAGUUUCACUACUCAAAACUCUAAAUUUGAAGUUUCAUCUUUUUAUUUGCAUUUUGGUCCUUAUAAUUAAUUAUACAUCACAUUUAUGAUUCUUAAGUAUUUUUUCAUUCAUGGUUUUAAUUUUUAAAACUUUUGUAAAUUUUAAAUAUUUCAAAUUUAUUUUUAUAAAUUAAAAUUUUACAUAUAAAAGUUUUUUUAAAAAUCAAAAUAAAGAUUUAUAAUAUUUUAAAACUAAAUUUAGACAAAAAGAAUAUUACAAAAGAAACUUAAUAAUUCUUUUAAGAAGAUAUAUACAUGAAGACAUAAUUGUUAUACAAAUUUAAAUAUUACAUCAACACUAAUAGUCUAGUAAAUUUUUUCUCCGGAACUUCUAAAAUAUUGUCCAAACAAAUUUUGUAUAACCGAAAAUGGAGCAUUAAUAAAAUAAUUUUAUGUAAUAAUGUGGUAUUUUUCUUGUAGUUUAAUAUUUAAUUAUGUAUUUCUAUUUAUAAUUUUAUAUUUUAAUGUAAUAUUUUAUUAAUUAAUAUUACUAUAAUAUUUUUAUAUAUGUGCUAGUUAUCUACAAAAGUUUUAUGGAUUUAUAUUAGUUAUGAUAAAUAUAAGGAGCAUAAUGUAAAUUACAAAUAGUUUUGAAGUUAAAUUUGAAGUUUUCCUUUUGGAGAAGAACACCUUGAAACUUCAAAUAUAGAGUUUGCAAAACUCUAUAAUAGAGAGUCUUUUUGGAGAUGCUCUUAGAAAAGAAAAAAAUUGUUUUUAGAAGAUACAGUUUUUACAUUUUCAAUGCAUGUAAUAAUGGUAAAUUGUAAAUUUUAAAGACAUUAGAUGUGUUUACUGAAUUUUGAUUGACUAAAAAUUAUGGGAAAUAACUAAUUACAAAAAAAACAAUGCAUUUGUAAUCAAAAUUUAACAUGUUUUCUGAGUGAAAAUUCUAAAACGGAUGGAGUAUUGAUUUUGACACUAUCCUCUUGACUGGAACCAAAGCGCCAUGGCUAAUUAAUACUUUUACUUAUGUUUAUUUGAAGGAACUUCAACUACGGUGCAGCUGGAGAAGCCCUAAAAGCCGAUCUAUUGAACCACCCCGAGUACAUCGAGCAGAACGCGACGCUCGCCUUCCAAGCUGCAAUUUGGAGAUGGAUGACGCCAAUCAAGAAAGCUCAGCC